GGCAAGAUGGCCGAGUGGUCUAAGGCGCUAGAUUUAGGAAUUCUGACUCUAGUCUUCGGGCGUGGGUUCGAAUCCCACUCUUGUCA